ACGGCGAAAAUGUCAGUGGCGGUGACGACGACGCCUUCCUUAGCGAGUGGGAUAGCGAGACAACCGGCGUCACAGACGGUGACGCUACCAAGCGAACCUUCUUCUCGCCGUAAAUCUUCUUCCACCGCUUAAACCCUGACUUGUUCAAGUAGUCCUUGAUGACGGCCUCGAGCUUUGCUCCAGUUCGUGCAUCGCUUCCGAUUUCCAGAGAGAAAAAGAGAGGCCACGUAAUCGGCGUCGUCGGAGAGGCCGUGGAGCUACGGUUCGCGCGUCGCUUCCGAUUUGCAGCCAAACAGACAACUUAACUGUCCAUUUUUAAUAGAAAUAGCUAGCAUCGAC
rnacentral:lncRNA from 1 species